rnacentral:rRNA from 1 species
UACAGAGGGUGCGAGCGUUGUUCGGAAUUACUGGGCGUAAAGCGCGCGCAGGCGGCUUCUUAAGUCCAUCGGUGAAAUGCCGGGGCUCAACCCCGAGUGUGCCGAGGAUACUGGGAGGCUGGAGACGAGUAGAGGCAAGCGGAAUUCCGGGUGUAGCGGUGAAAUGCGCAGAUAUCAGGAAGAACACCUAUGGCGAAGGCAGCACUCUGGGACGGGUACUGACGCUGAGACGCGAAAGCGUGGGGAGCGAACAGG